GACGAACGCUGGCGGCAUGCCUAACACAUGCAAGUCGAACGAGACCUUCGGGUCUAGUGGCGCACGGGUGCGUAACGCGUGGGAACCUGCCCUUAGGUUCGGAAUACCUCAGAGAAGUUUAAGCUAAUACCGGAUGGUGUCUUCGGACCUAAGAUUUAUCGCCUUUAGAUGGGCCCGCGUUGGAUUAGCUAGUUGGUGGGGUAAAGGCCUACCAAGGCGACGAUCCAUAGCUGGUCUGAGAGGAUGAUCAGCCACACUGGGACUGAGACACGGCCCAGACUCCUACGGGAGGCAGCAGUGGGGAAUAUUGGACAAUGGGCGAAAGCGUGAUCCAGCAAUGCCGCGUGAGUGAUGAAGGCCUUAGGGUUGUAAAGCUCUUUUACCCGAGAUGAUAAUGACAGUAACGGGAGAAUAAGCUCCGGCUAACUCCGUG
rnacentral:rRNA from 1 species